CGUCCCUAUAUGUGUCCCAGUAUGUGUGCGCUUAUAUCACCUUGUGUGCGUUCUUAGCUACAUAUGCCCUCCAUCGCCCGUACACUCAUUCAGGCCUAUGGAAAAAAAUAAUCGAAUGGUGGAUGCUGUGAUGAAAGCUCUCUCGUUAAACCCUUCCUUAUUUUGGCAUUAAUGUAUAGAUGUAUGUAGAGGCCGAAAGAUAAAAGAUUGGAAUAUAGAUAUACAAGGUACGAAGCAAUAUGUGGUACAAUAGGGCAGAAGGUUAUUUUACACACAAAAAUAAGUGAAAUAUGUAGAAUAACACGAUAAUAUACUUCAAAAAGGUAAGUUUACUAAUUUGUCAUGUAUGUAUAUUUGAACUUGGCUAAUUCCGGCCUGAGCAGGACUGAAUAAUCGACAGAAGCAUAUUCUAUGUAUUAAAAUAUGUCGGAAACCUAAAAUAACUUUUAUUUAUUCGACUUUUAUUUCGAAAAAAAUUAAGUUUGAAAAUUCAUCAAGUACAUAUAUACCAGAUUGGGUGUAUAUACAUACAUACGCUCAAAUUUGAGUUUGUCAAACACGAGACAUUAACACGUUACGCCGGGCGUACCACCGGUGGUUCACGCUUAAGUUCCCUAUCAGGCGGCGUGCACCACCGGUGGCUCACACUUGAAUGUUCCAUCAGACGGUACGUACCACCAAAAAUGUAGUUCGUUUAGUAACUAGAAAAAAUUGCCAUACAGUUGAAAAUUUAAAUAAUAGAAAUUUAACGUAUAUUAAUUGAAGAAAGUAGGAUUUAUUUAAAAACAUAACAAUUCAAUAUUAUAAAUUUAUUGUGAACAUGAAUACGAGCGCCGCCCCACGGCGAGAAACACAAAUAGCAGCGCCAGCGUGAACGUGUUAAACGAGAAAGUAUACUACAUCGAGUAGACAUGAUAUUGAUAUUCAUGACGAUAAGAGAUGACAGUUCUUAAAUUCGCGCUAGAACAAAUGUUGUCUAUGACAUGAGUAUGUACAUGAAAAUGAGUUAGUUAUAAUUUGACGUCAUACACACUGAGGAUAGAUGGAAUUUGUGAUUUGACGCACCACAUACUACGUCAUACACUUAUGAAUGAUACUUAAUGAACGAUUUCUUCUAUAAGGAAAGCAUACAUGUGUAGUAAAAAAAAUUGCUUGAAUAUGAUAAAAAGGAUAAAAAAAGGUGCCAUAUCGACCUUGGAACAGAGGAUAUAUAUAUAUAUCCUUCUUCAAAUAAAUUUAACGGUUAUUUAAUUAAAUCCCAAAAAUUUGAAUUUUAAAUGAUAUAUUUCGAAUUUCAAUGCAGUAGACACUUCCUUAAUUCCUUCUUCAUGGAUGGAAAACUCCCUGUUAUGCAAAGACAGUUGUCAUGCAAAACGAAGGAAAGCAUGGAGAAUCACUACCAAGUAAUCUCGAAGUCACGUUCAGAACAAGGAUGUCCUUGUUUUACGCCGACUACUGAUCGUUUUCCAGUCCCCGAGAGAAUUACCAGGGCUACCGUCUAGAUGUAUUAUAGUUAUGUAACCGUUUUGCGGAAGAAUAUCCCUUGUGCGUACCGGGUAUCCGUUUAAAAAUCAUGCGCGCUAUUAUAUUUGAAAUACAAAUUUUCUAACAUAAUGUUUGAUAAUAUAAACAUUGUCAUCUAUAAUUCGUACAUUCGUAGAUAUGUGGUCAACUGACUUAUGUAUGUUAAAGUUUAAGUUUCCAUGUAUCAAAUGAAAUGUAUCAAACGAUAACAUUUUGAACGAUAAUUACUGGCCCAUAAGGAAAUGUACAAUUUAACUACUGUUCUUUUACUCUUCAGCCCAUUGGUGCAGUACAAAUACAGGUGUUACUCGCAAGAAACAGCUCGUGCAUCUUUUAAUACUCAUAAAACUGCGUCUACCAUUGUGACACGGAGGAAGUGGUCAGACAUAAAGAACACUGUUGGACAGUCGAACACACGUGUAAGAACACGGUGUAAAGUGUGAGGAUUGGACGUGACAUGUUACCAUAGGAACGACGAGUUUAGGAUCUAGAAAGUGAAAAUUAAUAAAAAGUUAGUCAAUGGCUAUUUUCUAAUAAAGCAAAAUUUUAUGACAUUUACGACGACCUUGAGGUCGCUGUGAUUUCGUUAUGAGAUGUUACGGUAAAUGAGGAAAGUGCAAGGCAAUGUUUUCAAAACAAAAGAGAGACGCAUUGCUUGUGAGAACGUACUUUAAUUCUGGUGAAUACCUCUUGCUCUGUGCACGCCUCAGGGUGCGUCUGCAUCGUUGUUCGCGAAUACUUUCCCACCGUGGAGUUUGGCUGGAACAACGUCUACCAAUACGUACAUGUAUAUAUAUAUAUAUAUGUGUAUAUACAUAUACAUUUUUCUUUUUCUUUUUGUAAAUAUGCUGUACUUUUAUAUAGAGUACGAGUUUAUGACCUACACUUCGUUUCAGGUUAUGUUCUUGUUAUUAAGUUUUUUGAUGAAUAAAGAUCUAUCUGGAUGGUUGCUAUGAAAACAAACCGUAGUAGAGUUAAUGUCUGUCUUCAUGGAUGUCUUCAUGGAAGAAGUUAGUAACGAAGACAUAAUAUAUGGAUAAUAAAUAACGGUUAUGAGGUGCCAGAAAGUAAUCGCGUUCAUCGACGCUGUACACCAUAAACACGUAAUAACGUGGAGCCGUCUUCAUGGGUGUCCCACGUAUUAUGCAAGAGAUGGGCCGGUAGAAAAUUUUUCAGGCCGUUGAACAGAGUGUACAGUCCUCUGUAGCAUACCUUCGCCCACGAUCAAGUUCGAACUUACUUGAUUUCUCUUUAGGACCAGAAUAUCCUGUACAUGAUACAUCAAGGUUAGGAUGCAAUAGUAUCAACAGAAUCAGCCCUAAAAAUUCUUGAGCCACUAAAAAUGCAAUAGCUUGAGGAAAAUAUUUACAAAUUGUCCCACCUUCUCGUGAAGAAUACCUUAAGCUACGAUUCAUAGGCAGCUGCGAACAAUUUAAUACCAAUGUCACUCAGAGCUAACGCAUUAUAUUACGUCAGAUUUGAUCGAAGUGGUGGCACGGUUUCACCUAUAAUUUCGUGCAAUUUUAACGAGAAUCGCUUCAAAUUUCAUUUCUCACAAACAAUCUAAUAUGUGUAAAAUUACUUUUAAUAUUGACAAAAAGGACGCUAAUAAUUUCCUGAACGUAACCAUGACAGGGGGCGAGGUCGUCUUAAGACGAGUUCAACGCAAAUUCCAGAUAAAGAAUAUAAGAAGAAACAACCAUAAACACGACUCUUGAAGAACUCACUCGACGAAGAAAUAUCAUACUAAACGAGUCAUUGAAACGCAGAGUCCGUAAUGAUUAUUCGAAUUCCCCGCAUUGUUUUGACUUAAUUCAGUGUGAAUCGGCCUUAACCAGGACUCGUUGUGUUCUCAAAGAGCGAAAUUAAGAGAGAGAAGGAGGCGCACCAAGAGAAACAAAUGAACCGGGAGGAGAGUGAUGAGGAGAAGUACGAAGGAAUCGAAGAGGUGGCCGGGGACACGGAAGAGAAGAGAAGACGCGAGAAAGACGAAGAAACGAGAGGAAGGGAUCCGGAAUAUAAGUCUCUGCAAGGCCUCGCGGUUUCGCCGUUGCCUUCUCAGAACCGAUCGACUCUCGAAACGCGAGGGAACAACAAAAACCAGAUCGCUUAAAGUUGAUACCCAUUUCUUUACACCCCGAAUUUAAAUGCAACAAAGUCGAUCCAAAUCAUUUCGGUUCCUUUGCCACUUUAUCGAUAAAUAAAGCUGUUUACUAGGCAAUCAAACCGAACCUCGUUAAUAAUCAAUAUUGCUUAAUCUAUACUAAUAGAGGGCGUUGUUGAGUUGUGACUAAAAUAAUUAUCGUAAUUCCAAAACUUAACAAUAACAAGCACACAACAAUGAGGUUAUACUAUGCCUAGUCAUAGCUAUAGAUAACUAGAUUUAUACUCGUAUUUAAAAUAAAGUAGAGAUUUAGAAAAGUGUCUGACUUUUUACUUCUCUUUAGUUUAACCUGUUUGUUAAAUAAGAAGCUACAUUUGUUAUGUUGAUAUGGUUAAGUUGAUAGAAUUUAGCUCAUUUUGUAAGAACGAGUUCUAAUGGCUCACUUUGUUCGCGUCUCCGUGUAUAGCUUUAGCAUAGACCUCGAUAUGCCUCUCGUUUUACCAUGUCGGUAACUUCAACGAGAUAUUAUUUUUUCUUUGUUCAAUUAUUCGCUGCCGUAACGGCGUAUUGUGCAGCAUCAAAUGAAAAAGAGUUAACGGCGAGUUCAAUAUCAAACGUCUAGUUCAUUUACCAGUUUGCCAGCCUCUGCCAGCCUCUGCCAGGCUUUGUCAGCUAUUCAGAACAACGACCGGAUACGAAGUAGACGUAAACACUAAAUACAUAGAAUAUGGAAAUGAAUGCAAUGCUCGUGGAACAGGUCACGAAAUUCUUUUUGGGCCGGUCCUGAGACCCAGGCGCAGAAUAAAGAUUUUUGCCCCGAUAGAAAAAAAAAAAAUUUACCAUUCAUGCGCGUAGCUUGGGAAGCGCGAAAAAUUAUGCCGGAAUCUUUUUCCCCCCUUUUCGUCUGAAUCGGCGAUAUUGUCCGGCACAGAUUACACAGUUCCUUGCUCGGACUGCCGAAACCAUACCAGAUGGCGUAAUAUCCUUUGACUUCGUAUCAUAAUAAGUGAAUGCAAAAGUAAAGCGUGUGAUGCGUCGAACGAUGAUACCUUUCUAUACAGACAAAUUUUUGUUCGCGUGAUCCAUCCAAAGGUAACCUACUAUCUCAUUAUUCUUCUUCGAUGCCGUAAGACAUGCACGAAUGAAGAUGCACGAGAUGCAAGAAUUACGAUCCACAUUGCUCUCUUGAACCUCUAAUGAAAACUUGGAGAAUUGAGUUUCCUAGUACGAUUAUUACUUAGUAACUAGUAAUAUUAGAAAAUUGAUAGGCAUAUGGUUAAGUUUCAUAAUUUUACAAUUUUACAUCGAAUAUGACAAUUAGCUGAUUGAUGACAUUUAUUCGUAGAAUUUUAUUCAUUUAGUAUGAUUAUUUUACUAUUAUAAAAUUUGUCACUAUUAUACCAGAUGAUAUAUUAACAUUGGUAACUUGAAAAUUGGUAACUUGGUUUGUGAUUUGAAAAAUCUGACUACAGAUAUUACUUUAUGCAAGAGGGUCCUACUAUUAUAAACAUUAUUCUUUAAAAGUAUACUUGCAUAAUAACGUAUUUUAUUAAAAAUUCAAUAAUGUUUCUACAGAUACCCGACAUACCCCCUGUCCAUUCAGUAUUCUUGCGGAAUCAAGAAGAAGAAAAGGGGGCCGCUCCAAAUAGGAUUAAGAGCUAUCCACUCUGAAAAAACGUCUGUGAGGAAUGUCGGGAAAAUAAAUGAUAAGCUGUCGUCAAAUAAUAUCACGCACUAGACGUAUAGUUGGAUAAUACAAAUUAAUCGUCUAUGUGGCAUGAAAUUCCUCGAACGGGACCAGCUACGAAACAGACGCCAUAUACGUCGGAUGGAAGGCAAGAGCGGUAUGCCUGAGAAUGGAUGCAGGUCGUUUCGACAACGCAGACAGGUUUUUCCCUUUGAAGUGCACGGGGAAUCCGCCUUCCGGGUUCUCAUUCGUUCCACGUCCACUCGUCCUAUAUACUCCCAUAGAUAACUCGCCUGGAGGCGACUGAGAACCAUCGAGCGUGGCGCUGUUGGUAUUCGGUACAAGGAACUCGCGGG